UUUUUUCUCUCUCUUUUUUUUUCUCCCUCUUUCCAAGACAAACUAGAUAAGAUGCAGAUUGGAUCAGGCGAAGAUGUGAAUGACCUCAACUAUGAUUAUGACAAUGAACAGUGCGUAGCACGUGGUGGAAAUUAAUAGAUGGGAUGGUGGACGGCGGAAGGGAUAAUGAUGCAGCGGCGGCGUGACUAAUGUGAACAGAACUCGAAACUCUAAAGGAACUAGACACUAAGACCAGCAACUGACACGACGAUGCAACCGAUAAUUCAACUAUGCAAGCAAUGAAUAGAAAUUUGCAAAGGCUCAGACUGGCUUGGAUAAAGGAUGAACAGAUCUAACUUUUUUUGUGGCUUUUUCAUGGACUAUAGGUAUGAAUGACAGAUGCGAUCUAAACUAUGAAAAACUGUAAAAUCUCACCGAGCAACCUGAAAACUGAUACCACUUGAUAGAGGCGAGGGUCCCGAUCUUUCGAUGAGAUGAUAACUAUCGAUUUGGUGGAGACGACUUUGACGAUCCGACUACAAACGUGCACGACGUUGCGCCUUAGCAAUCGCUAAACCAAUCUCCUGAGGUUACUGACGAUGCUGGAAGCACGGUCAACCUGACCACGAAGGUCUAUUCCUGCAAGCAAUCGAAGAACGAGCAAGAAUAUGAUAAAGCAAUCUGAAUAUUGCAAAUAUAUAUGAAGUAUUGAUAAUGGUGGGGAUCCGGAAGCGGUCUUGGUCUGGUCGUUGGACACAAACGAAGUACACGAAGUUGCAAUGGCUAACUUUUAACUAAACAAAUCCCAAGGAAAAGCUACUAGAUGGAUCUACUUAUAUAGGAGCAAGGGGUGGCGGCCAAGGAGGUGGGAGGACGUCCCAAGGCAGCCUAAAACUAAAUCUAGGUCGUACAAGGCCAAUGGGCCCAAGUGGAGGUGAUGUAACACCUUUGGACUUGUAGUUUGACUCGGAUUCUGCUGCAGCAUCAGAUUGUUUCAUCCACAACUCAACGCUCCUGACGAAUUUGAUGGUGAUUCCAAUUGGGUUGGAAAGUGCACGAAAUCUAGUUUCCAACAAAAAAAGAAUCACCCAAUUCGGAGUCCGUAUGAAAAACUUGUGUGUGUUUUGAGUCAGGUGUGUCUGUGCAGUCCGAAUCUGAAUCCAGAACGUGAGAGACUUGGACUCUAUCUUCUCUUGGGCCAAAAGUGACGUGAGAGAACUUUUUGGACAGCAAAUAAAUAUCUCUUUCUUCCUUAUCUUCAUAUGUGGAUUGUACAAAUGUCCCAUACACCUGCAAUUAGACAAAACACAAAAGUGUGUGAAGUAUUUUUGUUUUGGAUAACAUAAAUAGAUUAUUGAAUAGUUUGCACUAGAAAUCACCUGACAAAUAUGCAUAUAUGCAAUAUUUUUGGUCAUAUCCAAGGUAGUCAUGUCCUCAUCAAUGAAGCCUUGGACGAAAUAUACAAGAUGCCACUUCAUAAAUUUCGUCCCGAGGCUAUUUUAGGUGCUGCGUCACCUUAUUAUUGGGCCAGGCCCAUGUAAUUUCGAAAUACAUAAGUAUAGGCUAUUUUUAGAGUCCGUAUGUGUGGGGAAACAAGAGAUAGGGUUGAUUUCGGACCCCUCCACCAAGGGCCACGAAAUUCCCCCCCUCUUCCUCCAUAUAUACAGCCCUUAGGGCAUCGUUUAGACUUUGGGUUUUGUUUAGAUUAAAAGUUCGCCAUAGCUGCAACUUCGCACACUUCGUUUGUGUUCAACGACCAGACAAAGGCGUCACAGAACCCCACCUUGAUCAAUAAAGCUUUCAUCUUAUAUUGGCAAUAUCCAGAUUGCAAUCUUAGUUUCUUGCUUGUUCUUCGUUUGCUCGCAGGAAACAGACCCUCGUGGUCAGGUUGAUCGUGCUCCGGCGUGGUCAAUAACCUCUCGGAGUUGGUUUAGCGAUUGCUAAGGCGCGACGUCCUUGCACGUUCGUAGUCGGAUCGUCAAAGUCGACUUCCACCAAAGCGAAAUCCACCAUCUCAUCGAAAGACGGGACACCUUUGCCUCUAUCAAUUGGAUGUAGUAAGGAUGUGGAUGUGGUCUUGUGGUGAGAGAAAGCUUCUCGACCAUCUCCAUGCUAGCCAAGUUGUUGCAGCUCCCUCCGUCUAUGAUGACGCGCACAGAACGUUCCUUCACAACUCCCUUGGUAUGGAACAAAUUGUGCCUCUGAUUUUGCUCAGCUUGUGUGAUCUGCACACUCAAAACACGUUGAGCAACUAAACAUUCAUACCUGUCAGCGUCUUCAGGAGCCAUGUAUUGCAUCUCAUGAUCAGAAUCAUCUCCACCAUGUUCUUCACGUGUAAUAAGAGCCAAAGUCUCCUCAUCAUAGUCACUAGCGGACUCAUAUCCACCAUCCGCGGUAGCAAUCAUCACACGCGGAGAUUUGCAUUCUCUCGCAUAAUGACCUCCUCCCUUACAACGACGACAAAUAAUAUCACUUGUGUGCCCUGUUGAUGCCAUGGAAGAAGAAGAACGCUGUGCAGGCCCCGCAGGUGCGCUCUUGGCAGAUAAUGGUGGUUGUGCCUGUUUUCUUGUAUCACGGCUGGAGGUGGCACCGGAUGGAGGUGCUGGUGCAGUUGAAGUAGAAGAUGCACGUGGUGUCCAUGAUGAAGGUCGGCCUGCAGAAAAGGUAGUUCGCCCCAAUGCUUGUCGAUCCUGCACUUCACGUUCAGCUUUACAAGCAAGAUGGAAUAAACGAGUGAUAUUAGUAUACUCCUUAUAGUCUAGAAUGGUCUGAAUCUCUCUAUUUAAUCCACCCAGAAAACGUGCAAGCAUAGCUUCAUUCUCCUCAACAAUACCACAUCUAAUCAUGCCAGUUUGUAAUUCCUGAUAAUAUUCUUCUACAGAAUUUUUUCCUUGUCUUAAACGCUGCAAUUUUUGAAGCAAUUCACGUUGAUAAUAUGGUGGAACCCAACGCGUACGCAUAGCAGUUUUCAAAGCAGCCCAAGUAGUUGGAAUAUGAUAUAAUCUACAAUGUUCAGACCACCAUACACAUGCAAAACUAGUGAAAGCACAAACAGCAGCAGCAACUCGUCUCUCCUCAGGAUAUUGUAAACAUGUAAAUCGUUGUUUAGUUUCUAACUCCCAAGUAAGAUAUAUAUCAGGAACAUAUCUACCCUCAAAUGGUGGAAUAUUCAAUUUCAGUUUAGGAAUAUGGACAUCAUCUCGUACCUGAGGUGGUGGUGCAGGCCUACCAUUACGAAUAUAUACCUGAGGUCGACCUGCUGGUGGUGGUACAGGUGGCUGCACGUGAUGAGGACAUCAAUACAAUUGUUACACCCACAGCCCCUGCUGCUAUACAUACUGGACCAAUUACUAGAGCUCGUGCACGCCAACUAAAUUACCAGGUACUUUCGUUUCUUGGUAAUGAUUCUAAUGUUCAUGAGAAUAUGAUGCUGCCUAAAUUGGAUACAUUUGUUUUGCUUACAAAUGAAGGGCCUAGCUUGGAGAAGGAUGAACAUUGGAGCAAGAACAAGCAUGGAGAUGAUGGCAUGCGCAAGGGAAACAAGAACGGAGUUACAAGUGAUGAUUUCAGGACUUUGAAGCCACCAUAAUGGGUGCAUGAAGCCAUGGACGAAAUAUACAAGAUGCCACUUCAUAAAUUUCGUCCCGAGGCUAUUAUAGGUGCUGCGUCACCUUUUUAUUGGGCCAGGCCCAUGUAAUUUCGAAAUACAUAAGUAUAGGCUAUUUUUAGAGUCCGUAUGUGUGGGGAAACAAGAGAUAGGGUUGAUUUCGGACCCCUCCACCAAGGGCCACGAAAUUCCCCCCCCCCCUCUUCCUCCAUAUAUACAGCCCUUAGGGCAUCGUUUAGACUUUGGGGUUUUGGUUUAGAUUAAAAGUUCGCCAUAGCUGCAACUUCGCGUACUUCGUUUGUGUUCAACGACCAGACAAAGGCGUCACAGAACCCCACCUUCAUCAAUAAAGCUUUCAUCUUAUAUUCGCAAUAUCCAGAUUGCAAUCUUAGUUUCUUGCUUGUUCUUCGUUUGCUCGCAGGAAACAGACCCUCGUGGUCAGGUUGAUCGUGCUCCGGCGUGGUCAAUAACCUCUCGGAGUUGGUUUAGCGAUUGCUAAGGCGCGACGUCCUCGCACGUUCGUAGUCGGAUCGUCAAAGUCGACUUCCACCAAAGCGAUAUCCAUCAUCUCAUCGAAAGACGGGACACCUUUGCCUCUAUCAAGUGGUAUCAGAUUUCCAGGUUGCUCGGUGAGAUUUUACAGUUUUUCGUAGUUUAGAUCGAGUCUGUUCUUCAUACCUAUAGUCCACGAAAAAGCCACAAAAAAAAAUUAGGGUUAGUUCAUCAUAUCCGAACCAAUCUGAGCCUUGCAUAAUCUUUUUAGGGUUUUGCUUUGUUGAAUUUGCGGUUGCAUCGUCGUGUCUAGUUGCUGGUCUUAGAGUCUAGUGUUUUAGAGUUUCGAGUUCUGGUCAUAAGUUGUCACGCCGCCGCCGCACCAUCAUCAUCCCCCCUGCCAUCUACCACCACCGCACCGAAUCCGUAUCCAUAUACCACCACCAAUCCGUGUCCAUAUACCACCACCGAUCCAUAUCCAUAUACUACCACCGCUACCACCAUCGCUGCCAUAUACCACCACCAUAUAUCCACCACCAAUCCGAGUUCCUUGCUUAUUAGGGUUGUUUUCGAGAUCCAUCUAGAUUCCGAUUCGUGUUUCCUUGCCGGAGUAGGUGUCGGAAAAAAAAAAGAGUCGGGUAGCCACGCUCCGUUUAGGCCCAAAAUUUUUCGAAAACGCAUUUUUUGAAAAAUUUUCUGGCUAUCCUAUUUUUAGGUGUUUCUGAGUGUUUUGAGACAGGUGCCAUUAUAGGAAGUUUUUUUGACCCGUUUCCAGUUUUUGGGUCCGGGCAGUCGAAAAAAAAAAUUUGGUCGAAAAAUUUCGUGCCCAUCCUGUCAGUUUGAGCUAGGAAGAGUUUUGAGACACUCGCCAUUAUAGUGAUUUUUCGCAAAAAAAAAAAGCAGCGCAAAAAAAAAAGAGCGCAAAAAAAAAGAGCGAAUUUUUUUUUUCAGAGUGUGCUUUUCCCUUGUUUACGUGCCGCGCCGUGAUUUUGUUGGUGUUCUAGGCUCGCGUCUCUAGCACAGUCUAGCCUAGGACCAUCACAGUACCGUCGUUGAGCGUUUAUUCAACUUUGCAUCUCUGAAUUGAUUAUUGCUGACCCUUUUUGCUACCAUAUUAUAAGCCUUCCCAGCUCCACAUACAUCUACGUCGUGCGUUUGACUCUCCCUGGUAAUCGCUCUAUCCAAGCUUUGAGAGUUUUGACUACAACGGUUGCCGAUCACCGCCUGUUGCUGGGUAAGAACUGGUAAGAAUUUGAGUUUUGCUUGACGGAUUUGUGACACCCACCACCACCACUUGUUCGUAGUCUGUAGGAUCAUAUUCUUGUGUAUUUCUAUUGCUGCUAACCAUGCCAGGAUCACAAGCCGACGAGAUUGACUGGGAGAAUUUAUCGAACAAGGAGCUUCAUGAUAAGUUUCAGCAAAUGAUGACUGAACAGGUGCAAGAUGUGCUGAACAAUUUUGAAGAGGCCAUGGAGAAGAUCACUGGCCUUGAGAAGACGUUCGAAACAAAGCUCGAUAACAGAUUUAAUGAAUUGCUCGCGCGUCUUCCACCACCACCACCCGCUGCACCUAACGCACCUCUCCAACAACAACAACAACGACUGCCUCCACGUCGCGAAAUAGACCUUCGCCGAGCGAGCCAUGUUCCUCUUGCGUUUGGCCAAACUGUUGGUGCUGCUGUUGAUACUUCUGUGGCUCCUGCUACUGCUGUUGCUGGUACCCAGGAGGAUGAUGAGUAUGCGGGCGAUUAUGAGGAUGAGGUUGAUCAAAAUCAGAUCUACGAGCAGCCACCAGCACCACCACCAGCAGGUCGACCUCAGGUAUAUAUUCGUAAUGGUAGGCCUGCACCACCACCUCAGGUACGAGAUGAUGUCCAUAUUCCUAAACUGAAAUUGAAUAUUCCACCAUUUGAGGGUAGAUAUGUUCCUGGUAUAUAUCUUACUUGGGAGUUAGAAACUGAACAACGAUUUACAUGUUUACAAUAUCCUGAGGAGAGACGAGUUGCUGCUGCUGUUUGUGCUUUCACUAGUUUUGCAUGUGUAUGGUGGUCUGAACAUUGUAGAUUAUAUCCUAUUCCAACUACUUGGGCUGCUUUGAAAACUGCUAUGCGUACGCGUUGGGUUCCACCAUAUUAUCAACGUGAAUUGCUUCAAAAAUUGCAGCGUUUAAGACAAGGAAAAAAUUCUGUAGAAGAAUAUUAUCAGGAAUUACAAACUGGCAUGAUUAGAUGUGGUAUUGUUGAGGAGAAUGAAGCUAUGCUUGCACGUUUUCUGGGUGGAUUAAAUAGAGAGAUUCAGACCAUUCUAGACUAUAAGGAGUAUACUAAUAUCACUCGUUUAUUCCAUCUUGCUUGUAAAGCUGAACGUGAAGUGCAGGAUCGACAAGCAUUGGGGCGAACUAACUUUUCUGCAGGCCGACCUUCAUCAUGGACACCACGUGCAUCUUCUACUUCAACUGCACCAGCACCUCCAUCAGGUGCCACCUCCAGCCGUGAUACAAGAAAACAAGCAGAACCACCAUUAUCUGCCAAGAGCGCACCUGCGGGGCCUACACAGCGUUCUUCUUCUUCCAUAGCAUCAACAGGGCACACAAGUGAUAUUAUUUGUCGUCGUUGUAAGGGAGGAGGUCAUUAUGCGAGAGAAUGCAAAUCUCCGCGUGUGAUGAUUGCUACCGCGGAUGGUGGAUAUGAGUCCGCUAGUGACUAUGAUGAGGAGACUUUGGCUCUUAUUACACGUGAAGAACAUGGUGGAGAUGAUUCUGAUAAUGAGACGCAAUACAUGGCUCCUGAAGACGCUGACAGGUAUGAAUGUUUAAUUGCUCAACGUGUUUUGAGUGUGCAGAUCACACAAGCUGAGCAAAAUCAGAGGCACAAUUUGUUCCAUACCAAGGGAGUUGUGAAGGAACGUUCUGUGCGCGUCAUCAUAGACGGAGGGAGCUGCAACAAUUUGGCUAGCAUGAAGAUGGUCGAGAAGCUUUCUCUCACCACAAGACCACAUCCACAUCCUUACUACAUCCAAUGGUUCAAUAACAGCGGCAAGGUUAAGGUAACACGUACUGUUCGUGUGCAUUUUAGUAUAUCUACAUAUGCUGAUUAUGUUGAUUGUGAUGUGGUACCUAUGCAAGCAUGUUCCUUAUUACUUGGUAGACCAUGGCAAUUUGAUAAAAAUUCUGUACACCAUGGUAGAAACAAUCACUAACCUCUCGGAGUUGGUUUAGCGAUUGCUAAGGCGCAACGUCGUGCACGUUUGUAGUCGGAUCGUCAAAGUCGUCUCCACCAAAUCGAUAGUUAUCAUCUCAUCGAAAGAUCGGGACACCCUCGCCUCUAUCACAAAGUCUAAACGAUGCCCUAAGGGCUGUAUAUAUGGAGGAAGAGGGGGGAAUUUCGUGGCCCUUGGUGGAGGGGUCCGAAAUCAACCCUAUCUCUUGUUUCCCCACACAUACGGACUCUAAAAAUAGCCUAUACUUAUGUAUUUCGAAAUUACAUGGGCCUGGCCCAAUAAUAAGGUGACGCAGCACCUAAAAUAGCCUCGGGACGAAAUUUAUGAAGUGGCAUCUUGUAUAUUUCGUCCAAGGCUUCAUGCACCCAUUAUGGUGGCUUCAAAGUCCUGAAAUCAUCACUUGUAACUCCGUUCUUGUUCCCCUUGCGCAUGCCAUCAUCUCCAUGCUUGUUCUUGCUCCAAUGUUCAUCCUUCUCCAAGCUAGGCCCUUCAUUUGUAAGCAAAACAAAUGUAUCCAAUUUAGGCAGCAUCCUAUUCUCAUGAACAUUAGAAUCAUUACCAAGAAACGAAAGUACCUGGUAAUUUAGUUGGCGUGCACGAGCUCUAGUAAUUGGUCCAGUAUGUAUAGCAGCAGGGGCUGUGGGUGUAACAAUUGUAUUGAUGUCCUCAUCAGAAUUGAAGUUGAUAAAGCCAAGAUUGAAGCUAUUGAGAGUUGGCCGCAGCCCAAAACGGUCACACAAGUGAGGAGUUUGCUUGGCCUUGCUGGAUUCUAUAGGCGUUUUGUGAGAGAUUUCAGCACCAUUGCUGCACCUCUCAAUGAGCUUACAAAGAAAGAUGUGCCUUUUCUUUGGGGUACCGCACAGGAAGAAGCCUUCACGGUAUUGAAAGAUAAGUUGACACAUGCUCCUUUACUCCAACUUCCUGAUUUUAAUAAGACUUUUGAGUUUGAAUGUGAUGCUAGUGGAAUUGGAUUAGGAGGUGUGUUAUUACAAGAUGGCAAACCUGUUGCAUACUUUUCUGAAAAAUUGAGUGGGCCUAGUCUGAAUUAUUCUACUUAUGAUAAAGAAUUAUAUGCUCUUGUUCGGACUUUAGAAACAUGGCAACAUUAUUUAUGGCCCAAAGAAUUUGUUAUAUGAUAGAGGCAAAGGUGUCCCGUCUUUGGAUGAGAUGAUGGAUAUCGCUUUGGUGGAAGUCGACUUUGACGAUCCGACUACGAACGUGCGAGGACGUCGCGCCUUAGCAAUCGCUAAACCAACUCCGAGAGGUUAUUGACCACACCGGAGCACGAUCAACCUGACCACGAGGGUCUGUUUCCUGCGAGCAAACGAAGAACAAGCAAGAAGCUGAGAUUGCAAUCUGGAUAUUGCGAAUAUAAGAUGAAAGCUUUAUUGAUCAAGGUGGGGUUCUGUGACGCCUUUGUCUGGUCGUUGAACACAAACGAAGUACGCGAAGUUGCAGCUAUGGCGAACUUUUAAUCUAAACAAAACCCAAAGUCUAAAUGAUGCCCUAAGGGCUGUAUAUAUGGAGGAAGAGGGGGGGUAUUUCGUGGCCCUUGGUGGAGGGGUCCGAAAUCAACCCUAUCUCUUGUUUCCCCACACAUACGGACUCUAAAAAUAGCCUAUACUUAUGUAUUUCGAAAUUACAUGGGCCUGGCCCAAUAAUAAGGUGACGCAGCACCUAAAAUAGCCUCGGGACGAAAUUUAUGAAGUGGCAUCUUGUAUAUUUCGUCCAAGGCUUCAUGCACCCAUUAUGGUGGCUUCAAAGUCCUGAAAUCAUCACUUGUAACUCCGUUCUUGUUCCCCUUGCGCAUGCCAUCAUCUCCAUGCUUGUUCUUGCUCCAAUGUUCAUCCUUCUCCAAGCUAGGUCCUUCAUUUGUAAGCAAAACAAAUGUAUCCAAUUUAGGCAGCAUCAUAUUCUCAUGAACAUUAGAAUCAUUACCAAGAAACGAAAGUACGUGGUAAUUUAGUUGGCGUGCGCGAGCUCUAGUAAUUGGUCCAGUAUGUAUAGCAGCAGGGCCUGUGGGUGUAACAAUGGUAUUGAUGUCCUCAUCAUCCUCCCCUUUUUGAAAUGAAGUCGUCCUCGACGGAAACUCAUCUUCCUCACCCAAAUAAGGCUUCAAAUCUGCAAUGUUAAAAGUGGGACUAACCCCAAAAUCUGCAGGCAACUCAAGUUUAUAUGCAUUAUCAUUUAUUUUCUCUAACACCUUAAAGGGACCAUCAGCACGUGGCAUUAGCUUUGAUUUGCGCAAAUCAGGAAAUCUAUCCUUACGCAAAUGUAACCAAACAAGAUCUCCAGGUGCAAACACAACAUGUUUUCGGAUGAGGACAUCAAUACAAUUGUUACACCCACAGCCCCUGCUGCUAUACAUACUGGACCAAUUACUAGAGCUCGUGCACACCAACUAAAUUACCAGGUACUUUCGUUUCUUGGUAAUGAUUCUAAUGUUCAUGAGAAUAUGAUGCUGCCUAAAUUGGAUACAUUUGUUUUGCUUACAAAUGAAGGGCCUAGCUUGGAGAAGGAUGAACAUUGGAGCAAGAACAAGCAUGGAGAUGAUGGCAUGCGCAAGGGGAACAAGAAUGGAGUUACAAGUGAUGAUUUCAGGACUUUGAAGCCACCAUAAUGGGUGCAUGAAGCCUUGGACGAAACAUACAAGAUGCCACUUCAUAAAUUUCGUCCCGAGGCUAUUUUAGGUGCUGCAUCACCUUAUUAUUGGGCCAGGCCCAUGUAAUUUCUUAAUACAUAAGUAUAGGCUAUUUUUAGAGUCCGUAUGUGUGGGGAAACAAGAGAUAGGGUUGAUUUCGGACCCCUCCACCAAGGGCCACGAAAUUCCCCCUCUUCCUCCAUAUAUACAGCCCUUAGGGCAUCGUUUAGACUUUGGGUUUUGUUUAGAUUAAAAGUUCGCCAUAGCUGCAACUUCGCGUACUUCGUUUGUGUUUAACGACCAGACAAAGGCGUCACAGAACCCCACCUUGAUCAAUAAAGCUUUCAUCUUAUAUUCACAAUAUCCAGAUUGCAAUCUUAGUUUCUUGCUUGUUCUUCGUUUGCUCGCAGGAAACAGACCCUCGUGGUCAGGUUGAUCGUGCUCCGGCGUGGUCAAUAACCUCUCGGAGUUGGUUUAGCGAUUGCUAAGGCGCGACGUCCUCGCACGUUCGUAGUCGGAUUGUCAAAGUCGACUUCCACCAAAGCGAUAUCCAUCAUCAAAUCGAAAGACGGGACACCUUUGCCUCUAUCAAGUGGUAUCAGAUUUCCAGGUUGCUCGGUGAGAUUUUACAGUUUUUGUAGUUUAGAUCGAGUCUGUUCUUCAUACCUAUAGUCCACGAAAAAGCCACAAAAAAAUUAGGGUUAGUUCAUCAUAUCCGAACCAAUCUGAGCCUUUGCAUAAUCUUUUUAGGGUUUUGCUUUGUUGAAUUUGCGGUUGCAUCGUCGUGUCUAGUUGCUGGUCUUAGAGUCUAGUCUUUUAGAGUUUCGAGUUCUGGUCAUAAGUUGUCACGCCGCCGCCGCACCAUCAUCAUCACCCCUGCCAUCUACCACCACCGCUUAUCCGCCAACGCUACGAAUCCGUAUCCAUAUACCACCACCGCUGCCAUCUACCACCAUAUAUCCACCCCCAAUCCGAGUUCUUGUCAUAUUAGGUUUGUUUUCCAGAUCCAUCUAGAUUCCGUUUCGUGUUUCCUUGCCGGAGUAGGUUUCGGAAAAAAAAAAGAGUCCGGAAACCACGCUCCGUUUAGGCCCAAAAUUUUUCGAAAACACAUUUUUCGAAAAAAAUUCUGGCUAUCCUAUUUUUAGGUGUUUCUGAGUGUUUUGAGACAGGUGCCAUUAUAGGAAGUUUUUUUGACCCAUUUCCAGUUUUUGGGUCCGGGCAGUCAAAAAAAAAAUUGGUCGAAAAAAUUCCGUGCCCAUCCUGUCAGUUGGAGCUAGGAAGAGUUUUGAGACACUCGCCAUUAUAAUGAUUUUUCGCAAAAAAAAGAGCGAAUAUUUUUUUCCAGAGUGUGCUUUUCCCUUGUUUACGUGCCGCGCCGUGAUUUUGUUGGUGUUCUAGGCUCGCGUCUCUAGCACAGUCUAGCCUAGGACCAGCACAGUACCGUCGUUGAGCGUUUAUUCAACUUUGCAUCUCUGAAUUGAUUAUUGCUGACCCUUUUUGCUACCAUAUUAUAAGCCUUCCCAGCUCCACAUACAUCUACGUCGUGCGUUUGACUCUCCCUGGUAAUCGCUCUAUCCAAGCUUUGAGAGUUUUUGACUACAACGGUUGCCGAUCACCGCCUGCUGCUGGGUAAGAACUGGUAAGAAUUUGAGAUUUGCUUGACAGAUUUGUGACACCCACCACCACCUCUUGUUAGUAGUCUGUAGGAUCAUAUUCUUGUGUGUUUCUAUUGCUGCUAACCAUGCCAGGAUCACAAGCCGACGAGACUGACUGGGAGAACAUGACGAAUAAGGAUUUGCAUGAUAAAUUUCAGCAAAUGAUGAGUGAACAGGUGCAAGACGUGCUAAACAGAUUUGAAGAGGCCAUGGAGAAGAUAGAUGGCAUGGAGAAGACGUUCGAAACAAAGCUCGAUAACAAGUUUAAUGAAUUGCUCGCGCGUCUUCCACCACCACCACCCGCUGCACCUAUCGCACCUCUCCAACAACAACAACAACGACUACCUCCACGUCGCGAAAUAGACCUCCGCCGAGCAAGCCGUGUUCCUCUUGCGUUUGGCCAAACUGUUGGUGCUGCUAUUGAUACUUCUGUGGCUUCUGCUGCUGAUGCGGAGGAGGAUGAUUAUGUGGGAGAUUACGAGGAUGAGGUUGCUCAAAAUCAGAACUACGUGCAACCACCAGCACCACCACCAGCAGGUCGACCUCAGGUAUAUAUUCGUAAUGGUAGGCCUGCACCACCACCUCAGGUACGAGAUGAUGUCCAUAUUCCUAAACUGAAAUUGAAUAUUCCACCAUUUGAGGGUAGAUAUGUUCCUGAUAUAUAUCUUACUUGGGAGUUAGAAACUGAACAACGUUUUACAUGUUUACAAUAUCCCGAGGAGAGACGGGUUGCUGCUGCUGUUUGUGCUUUCACUAGUUUUGCAUGUGUCUGGUGGUCUGAACAUUGUAGAUUAUAUCCUAUUCCAACUACUUGGGCUGCUUUGAAAACUGCUAUGCGUACGCGUUGGGUUCCACCAUAUUAUCAACGUGAAUUGCUUCAAAAAUUGCAGCGUUUAAGACAAGGAAAAAUUUUUGUAGAAGAAUAUUAUCAGGAAUUACAAACUGGCAUGAUUCGAUGUGGUAUUGUUGAGGAGAAUGAAGCUAUGCUUGCACGUUUUCUGGGUGGAUUAAAUAGAGAGAUUCAGACCAUUCUAGACUAUAAGGAGUAUACUAAUAUCACUCGUUUAUUCCAUCUUGCUUGUAAAGCUGAACGUGAAGUGCAGGAUCGACAAGCAUUGGCGCGAACUAACUUUUCUGCAGGCCGACCUUCAUCAUGGACACCGCGUGCAUCUUCUACUUCAACUGCACCAGCACCUCAAUCAGGUGCCUCCUACAGCCGUGAUACAAGAAAACAGGAACAACCACCAUUAUCUGCCAAGAGCGCACCUGCCGGGCCUGCAUAGAGUUCUUCUUCUUCCAGGGCAUCAACAGGGCACACAAGUGAUAUUAUUUGUCGUCGUUGUAAGGGAGGAGGUCAUUAUGCGAGAGAAUAAAAAUCUCCGCAUGUGAUGAUUGCUACCGAGGGUGGUGGAUAUGAGUCCGCUAGUGACUAUGAUGAGGAGACAUUGGCUCUUAUUACACGUGAAGAACAUGGUGGAGAUGAUUCUGAUCAUGAGACGCAAUACAUGGCUCCUGAAGACGCUGACAGGUAUGAAUGUUUAGUUGCUCAACGUGUUUUGAGUGUGCAGGUCACACAAGCUGAGCAAAAUCAGAGGCACAAUUUGUUCCAUACCAAGGGAGUUGUGAAGGAACGUUCUAUGCGCUUCAUCAUAGACGGAGGGAGCUGCAACAACUUGGCUAGCAUGGAGAUGGUGGAGAAGCUUUCUCUCACCACAAGACCACAUCCACAUCCUUACUACAUCCAAUGGUUCAACAACAACGGCAAGGUUAAGGUAACACGUACUGUUCGUGUGCAUUUUAGUAUCUCUACAUAUGCUGAUUAUGUUGAUUGUGAUGUGGUACCUAUGCAAGCACGUUCCUUAUUACUUGGUAGACCAUGGCGAUUUGAUAAAAAUUCUGUACACCAUGGUAGAAACAAUCACUAUACUCUUGUUCAUAAGGAUAAAAAUAUUACUUUGCUUCCUAUGACUCCUGAUUCCAUUUUGAAAGAUGAUAUUAAUAGAGCUAAUAAAGCAAAACAGGAGAAGAAUAAGAGUGAAAAUCAGAUUGUGGCAAAAGAAUUUGAGCAACAAAUGAAGCCUAAUAAUAAACCAUCUAGUGUUGCUUCUGAAAUUAAAUUGAAAAGUGCAUGUUUAUUUGCCACCAAAUCUGAUAUUGAUGAGCUAGAUUUCAGCAAAUCUGUUUGCUAUGCUUUUGUGUGCAAAGAGGCAUUAUUUUCAUUCGAGGACGUGCCUUCCUCUUUGCCUCCUGCUGUCACUAACAUUUUGCAGGAGUUCGCUGACGUUUUUCCACAAGACGUGCCACCGGGAUUACCGCCUAUUCGAGGGAUUGAGCAUCAGAUUGACUUAAUUCCCGGUGCUUCACUGCCAAACCAUGCACCAUACCGUACCAAUCCAGAGGAGACGAAGGAGAUUAUGCAUCAAGUACAAGAGCUUCUCGACAAAGGUUAUAUACGUGAAUCCCUUAGUCCUUGUGCUGUUCCUAUUAUUCUAGUGCCGAAAAAAGAUGGUACAUCACGUAUGUGUGUUGAUUGUAGAGGCAUUAAUAAUAUUUUUAUUCGUUAUCGUGAGCCUAUUCCUAGGCUAGAUGAUAUGCUUGAUGAAUUGAGUGGCUCUACAAUAUUCUCCAAAGUUGAUUUGCGUAGUGGCUACCAUCAAAUUCGUAUGAAAUUGGGAGAUGAAUGGAAAACAGCAUUUAAAACUAAGUUUGGAUUAUAUGAGUGGUUAGUCAUGCCUUUUGGGUUAACUAAUGCACCUAGUACUUUCAUGAGAUUAAUGAACGAAGUUUUACGUGCUUUCAUUGGACGAUUUGUGGUAGUUUACUUUGAUGACAUAUUGAUUUAUAGCAGAUCUUUGGAAGAACAUGUCAAAAAGCUUGACUUUUAAUAUGUUUCAAAGAUUCAUGAUCAGAAUGUAUAACAAAUUCUUUGGGCCUUAAAUAAUGUUGCCAUGUUUCUAAAGUCCGAACAAGAGCAUAUAAUUCUUUAUCAUAAGUAGAAUAAUUCAGACUAGGCCCACUCAAUUUUUCAGAAAAGUAUGCAACAGGUUUGCCAUCUAGUAAUAACACACCUCCUAAUCCAAUUCCACUAGCAUCACAUUCAAGCUCAAAAGUCUUAUUAAAAUCAGGAAGUUGGAGUAAAGGAGCAUGUGUCAACUUAUCUUUCAAUACCAUGAAGGCUUCUUCCUGUGCGGUACCCCAAAGAAAAGGCACAUCUUUCUUUGUAAGCUCAUUGAGAGGUGCAGCAAUGGUGCUGAAAUCUCUCACAAAACGCCUAUAGAAUCCAGCAAGGCCAAGAAAACUCCUCACUUGUGUGACCGUUUUGGGCUGCGGCCAACUCUCAAUAGCUUCAAUCUUGGCUUUAUCAACUUCAAUUCCCUGUGGAGUAACAACAUAGCCAAGAAAAGAUACUCGGUCGGUGCAAAAGGUGCACUUCCCAAGGUUACCAAACAAAUGUGCAUCACGUAGAGCAAUAAAAACAGCACGUAAAUUGAUAGAGGCAAAGGUGUCCCGUCUUUCGAUGAGAUGAUGGAUAUCGCUUUGGUGGAAGUCGACUUUGACGAUCCGACUACGAACGUGCGAGGACGUCGCGCCUUAGCAAUCGCUAAACCAACUCCGAGAGGUUAUUGACCACGCCGGAGCACGAUCAACCUGACCACGAGGGUCUGUUUCCUGCGAGCAAACGAAGAACAAGCAAGAAACUAAGAUUGCAAUCUGGAUAUUGCGAAUAUAAGAUGAAAGCUUUAUUGAUCAAGGUGGGGUUCUGUGACGCCUUUGUCUGGUCGUUGAACACAAACGAAGUACGCGAAGUUGCAGCUAUGGCGAACUUUUAAUCUAAACAAAACCCAAAGUCUAAACGAUGCCCUAAGGGCUGUUUAUAUGGAGGAAGAGGGGGGAAUUUCGUGGCCCUUGGUGGAGGGGUCCGAAAUCAACCCUAUCUCUUGUUUCCCCACACAUACGGACUCUAAAAAUAGCCUAUACUUAUGUAUUUCGAAAUUACAUGGGCCUGGCCCAAUAAUAAGGUGACGCAGCACCUAAAAUAGCCUCGGGACGAAAUUUAUGAAGUGGCAUCUUGUAUAUUUGGUCCAAGGCUUCAUGCACCCAUUAUGGUGGCUUCAAAGUCCUGAAAUCAUCACUUGUAACUCCGUUCUUGUUCCCCUUGCGCAUGCCAUCAUCUCCAUGCUUGUUCUUGCUCCAAUGUUCAUCCUUCUCCAAGCUAGGCCCUUCAUUUGUAAGCAAAACAAAUGUAUCCAAUUUAGGCAGCAUCAUAUUCUCAUGAACAUUAGAAUCAUUACCAAGAAACGAAAGUACCUGGUAAUUUAGUUGGCGUGCACGAGCUCUAGUAAUUGGUCCAGUAUGUAUAGCAGCAGGGGCUGUGGGUGUAACAAUUGUAUUGAUGUCCUCAUCAUCCUCCCCUUCUUGAAAUGAAGUCGUCCUCGACGGAAGUUCAUCUUCCUCACCCAAAUAAGGCUUCAAAUCUGCAAUGUUAAAAGUGGGACUAACCCCAAAAUCUACAGGCAGCUCAAGUUUAUAUGCAUUAUCAUUUAUUUUCUCUAACACCUUAAAGGGACCAUCAGCACGUGGCAUUAACUUUGAUUUGCGCAAAUCAGGAAAUCUAUCCUUACGCAAAUGUAACCAAACAAGAUCUCCAGGUGCAAAAACAACAUGUUUUCUACCCUUAUCUCCAGCAAGUUUAUAUUUAGCAUUCAUACGCUCAAUGUUUUCCUUAGUUAACUCAUGCAUUUUUAAAAUCAAUUCAGCAUGUUGUUUAGCAUCAAAAUUAACCUUCUCCGAAGAUGGAAGAGGCAACAAAUCAAUAGGUGCACGAGGUAGGAAACCAUACACAACUUCAAAAGGGCACAUCUUAGUAGUAGAAUGCAAUGAACAAUUAUAAGCAAAUUCAAUAUGAGGCAAGCAUUCCUCCCACAUUUUCUUAUUAUUCUUCAAAACAGCCCUAAGCAUAGUAGACAACGUUCUAUUGACUACUUCAGUUUGUCCAUCAGUUUGGGGGUGACAAGUAGUACUAAAAAGGAGUUUAGUCCCCAACUUAGCCCAUAAACAUCUCCAAAAGUGGCUAAGAAAUUUAGUAUCACGAUCUGAAACAAUAGUAUUUGGCACACCAUGCAAGCGAAUAAUUUCACGAAAGAACAAAUCAGCAACAUUAACAGCAUCAUCGCUUUUAUGACAUGGUAUAAAGUGUGCCAUUUUCGAGAAUCUAUCCACGACAACAAAUAUGCUAUCCCUCCCCUUCUUUGUUCGAGGUAAACCUAAAACAAAGUCCAUAGAUAUAUCCUCCCAAGGAACACUAGGUACAGGCAAAGGCAUAUAUAAACCAUGAGGAUUGAGUCGUGACUUAGCUUUUUGACAUGUAGUGCAUCGAGCAAUAAAAUGCUCAACAUCCUGUCUCAUCUUUGGCCAAAAGAAAUGUAUAGCAAGUACGUCCUCCGUCUUUUUCACGCCAAAGUGUCCCAUUAAUCAUCCUCCAUGCGCCUCCUGCAACAACAAAAGACAAACGGAGCUAGCUGGAAUGCAUAGCUUGUUAGCACGAAACACAAAUCCAUCGUUAAUGACAAACUUGUUCCACAUUCUACCUUCUUUACAAUUCUGCAUUACAUCUUUAAAAUCAGCAUCAUGCACAUAUUGAUCUUUGAUGGUCUCCAAACCAAAUAUUUUGAAGUCAAGUUGUGAAAGCAUAGUAUAGAGACGAGACAAUGCAUCAGCAAUAACAUUUUCUUUUCCCUUUUUGUGUUUAAUGACAUAAGGGAAAGUCUCAAUGAAUUCGACCCAUUUAGCAUGUCUACGAUUCAGUUUAGCUUGACUUUUAAUAUGUUUCAAAGAUUCAUGAUCAGAAUGUAUAACAAAUUCUUUGGGCCAUAAAUAAUGUUGCCAUGUUUCUAAAGUCCGAACAAGAGCCUAUAAUUCUUUAUCAUAAGUAGAAUAAUUCAGACUAGGCCCACUCAAUUUUUCAGAAAAGUAUGCAACAGGUUUGCCAUCUUGUAAUAACACACCUCCUAAUCCAAUUCCACUAGCAUCACAUUCAAGCUCAAAAGUCUUAUUAAAAUCAGGAAGUUGGAGUAAAGGAGCAUGUGUCAACUUAUCUUUCAAUACCGAGAAGGCUUCUACCUGUGCGGUACCCCAAAGAAAAGACACAUCUUUCUUUGUAAGCUCAUUGAGAGGUGCAGCAAUGGUGCUGAAAUCUCUCACAAAACACCUAUAGAAUCCAGCGAGGCCAAGAAAACUCCUCACUUGUGUGACCGUUUUGGGCUGCGGCCAACUCUCAAUAGCUUCAAUCUUGGCUUUAUCAACUUCAAUUCCCUGUGGAGUAACAACAUAGCCAAGAAAAAAUACUCGGUCGGUGCAAAAGGUGCACUUCCCAAGGUUACCAAACAAACGUGCAUCACGUAGAGCAAUAAAAACAGCACGUAAAUGUUCCAAAUGUUCUUCCAAAGAUCUGCUAUAAAUCAAUAUGUCAUCAAAGUAAACUACCACAAAUCGUCCAAUGAAAGCACGUAAAACUUCGUUCAUUAAUCUCAUGAAAGUACUAGGUGCAUUAGUUAACCCAAAAGGCAUGACUAACCACUCAUAUAAUCCAAACUUAGUUUUAAAUGCUGUUUUCCAUUCAUCUCCCAAUUUCAUACGAACUUGAUGGUAUCCACUACGCAAAUCAACUUUGGAGAAUAUUGUAGAGCCACUCAAUUCAUCAAGCAUAUCAUCUAGCCUAGGAAUAGGAUGACGAUAACGAAUAGUAAUAUUAUUAAUGCCUCUACAAUCAACACACAUACGUGAUGUACCAUCCUUUUUCGGCACUAGAAUAAUAGGAACGGCACAAGGACUAAGGAAUUCGCGUAUAUAACCUUUGUCGAGAAGUUCUUGUACUUGACGCAUAAUCUCCUUCGUCUCCUCUGGAUUGGUACGGUAUGGUGCACGGUUUGGCAGUGAAGCACCGGGAAUUAAGUCAAUCUGAUGCUCAAUCCCUCGAAUAGGCGGUAAUCCCGGUGGCACGUCUUCUGGAAAGACGUCAGCGAACUCCUGCAAAAUGUUAGUGACAGCAGGAGGCAAAGAGGAAGGCAUGUCCUCGAAUGAAAAUAAUGCCUCUUUGCACACAAAAGCAUAGUAAACAGAUUUGCUGAAAUCUAGCUCAUCAAUAUCAGAUUUGGUGGCAAAUAAACAUGCACUUUUCAAUUUAAUUUUAGAAGCAACACUAGAUGGUUUAUUAUUAGGCUUCAUUUGUUGCUCAAAUUCUUUUGCCACAAUCUGAUUUUCACUCUUAUUCUUCUCCUGUUUUGCUUUAUUAGCUCUAUUAAUAUCAUCUUUCAAAAUGGAAUCAGGAGUCAUAGGAAGCAAAGUAAUAUUUUUAUCCUUAUGAACAAGAGUAUAGUGAUUGUUUAUACCAUGGUGUACAGAAUUUUUAUCAAAUUGCCAUGGUCUACCAAGUAAUAAGGAACAUGCUUGCAUAGGUACCACAUCACAAUCAACAUAAUCAGCAUAUGUAGAGAUACUAAAAUGCACACGAACAGUACACGUUACCUUAACCUUGCCGCUAUUGUUGAACCAUUGGAUGUAGUAAGGAUGUGGAUGUGGUCUUGUGGUGAGAGAAAGCUUCUCCACCAUCUCCAUGCUAGCCAAGUUGUUGCAGCUCCCUCCGUCUAUGAUGACGCGCAUAGAACGUUCCUUCACAACUCCCUUGGUAUGGAACAAAUUGUGCCUCUGAUUUUGCUCAGCUUGUGUGACCUGCACACUCAAAACACGUUGAGCAACUAUACAUUCAUACCUGUCAGCGUCUUCAGGAGCCAUGUAUUGCGUCUCAUGAUCAGAAUCAUCUCCACCAUGUUCUUCACGUGUAAUAAGAGCCAAAGUCUCCUCAUCAUAGUCACUAACGGACUCAUAUCCACCAUCCGCGGUAGGAAUCAUCACACGCGGAGAUUUGCAUUCUCUCGCAUAAUGACCUCCUCCCUUACAACGACGACAAAUAAUAUCACUUUUAUGCCCUGUUGAUGCUAUGGAAGAAGAAGAACGCUGUGCAGGCCCCGCAGGUGCGCUCUCGGCAGAUACUGGUGGUUGUGCCUGUUUUCUUGUAUCACGGCUGGAGGUGGCACCUGAUGGAGGUGCUGGUGCAGUUGAAGUAGAAGAUGCACGUGGUGUCCAUGAUGAAGGUCGGCCUGCAGAAAAGUUAGUUCGCGCCAAUGCUUGUCGAUCCUGCACUUCACGUUCAGCUUUACAAGCAAGAUGGAAUAAACGAGUGAUAUUAGUAUACUCCUUAUAGUCUAGAAUGGUCUGAAUCUCUCUAUUUAAUCCACCCAGAAAACUUGCAAGCAUAGCUUCAUUCUCCUCAACAAUACCACAUCUAAUCAUGCCAGUUUGUAAUUCCUGAUAAUAUUCUUCUACAGAAUUUUUUCCUUGUCUUAAGCGCUGUAAUUUUUGAAGCAAUUCACGUUGAUAAUAUGGUGGAACCCAACAAGUACGCAUAGCAGUUUUCAAAGCAACCCAAGUAGUUGGAAUAGGAUAUAAUAUACAAUGUUCAGACCACCAUACACAUGCAAAACUAGUGAAAGCACAAACAGCAGCGGCAACCCGUCUCUCCUCGGGAUAUUGUAAACAUGUAAAUCGUUGUUCAGUUUCUAACUCCCAAGUAAGAUAUAUAUCAGGAACAUAUCUACCCUCGAAAGGUGGAAUGUUCAAUUUCAGUUUAGGAAGAUGGUCAUGAUCUCGUACCUGAGGGAAAGCCCUACCAUUGUGAUUAUUUGCAUGUGGAUGACCUGGUGGUUGUGGUGCAGGUGGUUGCACAUAGUUCUGAUUUUGAGCAACCUCAUCCUCGUAAUCUCCCACAUAAUCAUCCUCCUCCGCAUCAGCAGCAGGAGCCACAGAAGUAUCAAGAGUAGCACCAACAGUUUGGCCAAACGCAAGAGGAACACGGCUCGCUCGGCGGAGGUCUGUUUUGCGACGUGGAGGUAGUCGUUGUUGUUGUUGUUGGAGAGGUGUGUUAGGUGCAGCGGGUGGUGGUGGUGGAAGACGCGCGAGCAAUUCAUUAAACUUGUUAUCGAGCUUUGUUUCGAACGUCUUCUCCAUGCCAUCUAUCUUCUCCAUGGCCUCUUCAAAUCUGUUUAGCACAUCUUGCACCUGUCCACUCAUCAUUUGCUGAAAUUUAUCAUGCAAAUCCUUAUUCGUCAUGUUCUCCCAGUCAGUCUCGUCGGCUUGUGAUCCUGGCAUGGUUAGCAGCAAUAGAAACACACAAUAAUAUGAUCCUACAGACUACUAACAAGAGGUGGUGGUGGGUGUGACAAAUCCGUCAAGCAAAUCUCAAAUUCUUACCAGUUCUUACCCAGCAGCAGGCGGUGAUCGGCAACCGUUGUAGUCAAAAACUCUCAAAGCUUGGAUAGAGCGAUUACCAGGGAGAGUCAACCGCACGACGUAGAUGUAUGUGGAGCUGGGAAGGCUUAUAAUAUGGUAGCAAAAGGGGUCAGCAAUAAUCAAUUCAGAGAUGCAAAGUUGAAUAAACGCUCAACGACGGUACUGUGCUGGUCCUAGGCUAGACUGUGCUAGAGACGCGAGCCUAGAACACCAACAAAAUCACGGCGCGGCACGUAAACAAGGGAAAAGCACACUCUGGAAUUUUUUGUUUCGCUUUUUUUUUUCUUUUGCGCUGCUUUUUUUUUUGCGAAAAAUCACUAUAAUGGCGAGUGUCUCAAAACUCUUCCUAGCUCAAAUUGACAGGAUGGGCACGAAAUUUUUUCGACCAAUUUUUUUUUCGACUGCCCGGACCCAAAAACUGGAAACGGGUCAAAAAAACUUCCUAUAAUGGCACCUGUCUCAAAACACUCAGAAACACCUAAAAAUAGGAUAGCCAAAUUUUUUUUCGAAAAAUGCGUUGUCGAAAAUUUUUGGGCCUAAACGGAGCGUGGUUUCCGGACUCGUUUUUUUUUUCGAUACCUACUCCGGCAAGGAAACACGAAUCGGAAUCUAGAUGGAUCUCGAAAACAAACCUAAUAUGACAAGAACUGGGAUUGGUGGUGGAUAUAUGUUGGUAGAUGGCAGCGGUGGUGGUAUAUGGAUACGGAUUCGAAGCGGUGGCGGAUAAGCGGUGGUGGUAGAUGGCAGGGGCGAUGAUGAUGGUGCGGCGGCGGCGUGACAACUUAUGACCAGAACUCGAAACUCUAAAAGACUAGACUCUAAGACCAGCAACUAGACACGACGAUGCAACCGCAAAUUCAACAUAGCAAAACCCUAAAAAGAUUAUGCAAAGGCUCAGAUUGGUUCGGAUAUGAUGAACUAACCCUAAUUUUUUUUGUGGCUUUUUCGUGGACUAUAGGUAUGAAGAACAGACUCGAUCUAAACUACGAAAAACUGUAAAAUCUCACCGAACAACCUGGAAAUCUGAUACCACUUGAUAGAGGC
rnacentral:lncRNA from 1 species